AAGGCCUUAGCUUAAUUAAAGUGUCUGAGUUGCAAUCAGAAGAUGUAGUUAUUAUACAGGCCUUC
rnacentral:tRNA from 1 species